CAGCGGUCAUGGAGAGUCUCCAUCCAGCUGGAUCACUGUCACAGGUAGACCUGCGACUACAGCCCCGCCCACAUCAGCACCUUCACCUUCUACCUCAAGCCCCCUGCAUUUUGACUUUACACUGCUUCGCUACCUGCUGGUGUUCUGUCCAUAUUUAAUCUCCACUCUUCUUGUUGCAUCUGUACAUCGACAGAGAGCCACAGGGAACAAUCCACCCACCAGUGAUCAUCCGAGCUCUUGAGGUCAACGGAUUGGAUGAAGAGGAUGUCAUCAAAGAGCACUGAUUGU